UCGACUGUCCUAAAAACUUGAAGAAAAAAAAAAAGAGUGUAGCCUUAGCUAGCUGACGUUAACGCUUACUCUGAGGUAAUAACUCAUCGCUAGCUAUUGUUACAGUUAGCCAGAGCUCCUAAUACAAAAGACAAGAUAGGCUUCUGAAUGAAGAAGGCGCUGCGGCUUCGGAGGCGGGGCUAUAAACAUAGGCGCAGCUGGCUGCUGAUGGACAGGCUGACCUUGGCCUGGGUAAGGAGGUGGAGCCACCUGCCCUGGACCAUACGCACCCAUCUAAACAAGAAACAUCAUUAGGACAAGACUUACACUAGAGGUUGGUAUGGAGAUAUACAAAAACAGACCUGUGGUGGUGUGUAAGGCAGGUCUAUAUCACUAAGCAGUGAAGUGUGGCUCUGGGGCACAGAUGGAGUUCCUUGUACUUCAUCGUCAUCAUCCAGAUCAUCUAAGUCCUCAUCCAGGUCCUCGAUGUCUGCAAAUUUUGCCUCCAGCUCGUCUAUCUUUUUAUCCAGAAGUGGGGACGGCUCCUUGGGAACAACCAUGGGUUUUCUACAAAAGAAAUAUUUCAGUAUACACAAUCUGAGAGAAUAAAGACUUCUUCUUUUCUCAUGGAAGAGUACCAACAAAUUUGAUCAGGAACUUGCGUGUAGCCAGGUGAAAGGUUUCCCCAGGUCUGUAAAACCAGCAGCCAUUCAUCCAUUGCUCACCUGUAGAAAAUAACC